rnacentral:lncRNA from 1 species
AAGAAGUAAAAUUAAUAUUUCGUCCAUAACAAUAUAAUAUUAUAUUGUCGCAAGACUAACCUGAACUUGCAGCCUCAUGAAAUAAGUAUAGAGGCGUAGUUGUCCUUCCACCUUCUACAUGCAUACCUUUCUAUCUUGCAAGUUUCUCAUGCAUCGCCAAAACAUAUCCAAGUAAAUGAUAAACAAAUUGCAACAGAAAAAAAAAUGAUUGACAAUAGCACACAAAUUUCAGUAAACCCAAGCACCAAUCCAGACUCUACACAAUCCAGGAACUUAUAACCCAGCAAAACUAUUCUUUUCUUCUUCCCCCCUUUUCCAUCCCGCAGCGCAUUUGACUCGGCAUCAAUUAAAUAAAAAGUUUUACCGCAAAAUCCUAGUAGAAC